UGGACACUGGACGGCCUACCUGACGAGGAAUAUUUAUUAUGGGAAGCGGAAGCUAUUCGGGUUCAUAAACAAGCAAAAGCAAAGCAACACAAAGGCUCAACAUCAAACUCACAAAGCAUAGAAGACCCUACAAGCAACAAGUGCUACAAUCCAAUUUCAGCACCAAACAACAAGCCAACAAUGCAUGCAGUACCAACCCCACAAGCAGCGGGAAUAACUGCUGCUGCAUCAGUAGAGGGUGAUUCUUCUAUCACACCUUUGUGUGUUCCUCCACCGAGAAGAGCAUUCAAAUUGGGUGCAGCAUUGCAAUCCCCGUACGUUCCGAUUGAGCCAAGGAGAAUGCCCUUCAAGUGCAGCAAGGAAGUGUGCAAGGUAUAUGAUGCCGUUUGCAUGUUUGCUAGAAGGUCCACCAGGUCGAAGAGCAACGAGCAACCCAUAAUAAACUACAUUUUCAACUUCGCUUCAUUGGGCCAUCUUGCGGACUCAGUUAAACCAGGUGGGAUGCUAAAGAAUACUGUCGCAGAGAUCGGCAUCUAUGUCAUUAA